rnacentral:lncRNA from 1 species
CACAAUGGUAAAAAUUGAAUGAAAUGAAAUAAGAUAGAUUUGAUACCACUUAAUGUAAAUACACGUAUAUACUUUUGGACAUUUAAUUUAGAUUGUACUUUUUAUAUUUUUUGUUAUUUUGGGUAAAGGGGUAAUUUCAUUGAAAGUCAAAUAUGUGAUUUGAGUUAGUUCACAGUUUAAAACUUAGGAAUCGUUGGAAGAAU